AAUAAAAUAAUUUUUGAAAAUAUAAAAAUUUCUAAUUUUUUAAAUUUAUGGUUAAAAUCCAUUUUUAUUU